GUGCCGCGGGUCAGCGGCUGACGCCAGCCACCUUCCCGACCCGUCUUGAAACACGGACCAAGGAGUCUAACAUGUGCGCGAGCCGCGGGGCAGUACGAAACCCGUAAGGCGAAAUGAAGGUGAACGCCGGCGCGGUCCGGCGGAGGUUGGAUCCCGUCCCGUCGGGGCGGGCGCACUACCGGCCGAUCUUCUCCGCCCUGUCGGCGAGGUCGAGCGAGAGCGUGCAAGUCGGGACCCGAAAGAUGGUGAACUAUGCCUGAGGAGGUUGAAGCCAGAGGAAACUCUGGUGGAGGACCGUAGCGAUUCUGACGUGCAAAUCGAUCGUCAAAUUUGGGUAUAGGGGCGAAAGACUAAUCGAACCGUCUAGUAGCUGGUUCCCUUCGAAGUUUCCCUCAGGAUAGCUGGCGCUCUGUCGCAGUUUUAUCUGGUAAAGCGAAUGAUUAGAGGUCUUGGGGGCGAAACGCCCUCAACCUAUUCUCAAACUUUAAAUUGGUAAGAAGCCCGACUCGCUCGUUUGGAGCCGGGCAUGGAAUGCGAGUGCCAAGUGGGCCACUCUUGGUAAGCAGGACUGGGGGAAGUAUGGUUGCAAAGCUGAAACUUAAAGGAAUUGACGGAAGGGCACCACCAGGAGUGGAGCCUGCGGCUUAAUUUGACUCAACACGGGAAAUCUCACCCGGCCCGGACACAGUGAGGAUUGACAGAUUGAGAGCUCUUUCUUGAUUCUGUGGGUGGUGGUGCAUGGCCGUUCUUAGUUGGUGGAGCGAUUUGUCUGGUUAAUUCCGAUAACGAACGAGACUCUGGCUUGCUAAAUAGUUACGCGACCAUCCCGGUCGGCGUUUAACUUCUUAGAGGGACAAGUGGCGUUUA
rnacentral:ncRNA from 1 species